AGCCCGAUCCCGCUGCCGCUCUGUGCGAAGCCUUGACACCGCUUCGCGCAGAGCGGUAAAUAGGGUUUUCCCGUACGAGGCAUCUAACCUGGUACCUCCAGUAAUCGCAGGAUUGUUGAUAGCCACUAGAAGAAUUAAGCUUUGAUGAUCUAUUGUCGAAUAGCACUACAUAUAUCUGAACAAAUAAGCAUGUACCGUAUCCAUGUGGAAGCCAAUAGCUAGUUUGUUGUGGCCUUCUGGGUAUGCUACGUGACAGGGGAGAAGAACAUCUAGGCAAUGGGUCAGUUGAUUUUUUUUUGUUUGAGAAAUGGUAUGUUUAUUUGAAGAUAUGAAGAGAAUGCUCGGGUCACGUCAGGAUUACAGAGUUAUUUGGCUCUUUGAAUGGAAGUAUGUUAGUCAUGAAAACUUCAGAAAAAACAAAAAAAAUAUUAAAAAGUCAAAUGACGUGACAUGAUGCCUUGCAUUUGUCAUACAAGCCAAUGAAAAAAGAAUAGGAUCAUUUCAUGUAUGUUGAGAAAUAACAUGCUCUCAAACGGAGUUUUCUGGUCUACCCACACACGCUACGUUCAACAAGAUGUUUUUUGGGGCUUUCUCGAAAUGAUCACAAAUUUUGCAAGAAGGUGGGCAUGUUCAUG
rnacentral:lncRNA from 1 species